rnacentral:rRNA from 1 species
AAUCAACGCUGGCGGCGUGCCUAACACAUGCAAGUCGCACGAGAAAGGGACUUCGGUCCUGAGUACAGUGGCGCACGGGUGAGUAACACGUGAAUCAUCUACCUUCGAGUGGGGAAUAACUGAGAGAAAUCUUAGCUAAUACCGCAUAAUACCUACGGGUCAAAGCAGCAAUGCGCUUGAAGAGGAGUUCGCGGCAGAUUAGUUAGUUGGCAGGGUAAUGGCCUACCAAGACGAUGAUCUGUAUCCGGCCUGAGAGGGCGCACGGACACACUGGAACUGAAACACGGUCCAGACUCCUACGGGAGGCAGCAGGUGGGGAAUUUUGCGCAAGUGGGGGAAACCCUGACGCAGCAACGCCGCGUGGA